ACGAACGCUGGCGGCGUGCCUAAUACAUGCAAGUAGAACGCUGAAGAGAGGAGCUUGCUCUUCUUGGAUGAGUUGCGAACGGGUGAGUAACGCGUAGGUAACCUGCCUUGUAGCGGGGGAUAACUAUUGGAAACGAUAGCUAAUACCGCAUAACAAUGGAUGACCCAUGUCAUUUAUUUGAAAGGGGCAAAUGCUCCGCUACAAGAUGGACCUGCGUUGUAUUAGCUAGUAGGUGAGGUAACGGCUCACCUAGGCGACGAUACAUAGCCGACCUGAGAGGGUGAUCGGCCACACUGGGACUGAGACACGGCCCAGACUCCUACGGGAGGCAGCAGUAGGGAAUCUUCGGCAAUGGGGGCAACCCUGACCGAGCAACGCCGCGUGAGUGAAGAAGGUUUUCGGAUCGUAAAGCUCUGUUGUAAGUCAAGAACGAGUGUGAGAGUGGAAAGUUCACACUGUGACGGUAGCUUACCAGAAAGGGACGGCUAACUACGUG
rnacentral:rRNA from 1 species